UUUCUCCAAUAGGACUCAAGGCGCUUGUAUAUUGCCAAGAAUUGUCAGCAGGUCCUGGUGAAAGUGAAGGAGCUAGGUGGUGGUAGCAGAGAUUAUACUACUACAACUGGGGACACAUUAUUGUGUACAGUUCAAAUAUACAAUGCAUCUUACACACAAUGUGCUACUGUAUGGCUGAAGUGGACAUACAUAUCUUUACAGGAUGUGGACAAGGCCAUUUUGCUAGGAUUCCAUUUCAUGUUUUACUGACUUCGUUUGAUACUCACAAUCAAGAUGAGGGGAGUGUGGUUCACGUCUUGGAGGUGUGUCCAAAAUUUGGAGUGGGGGGACCGAACAUACUGUCGAUAAUCUUCGUGGCGGGGUAGCUUGCUGUGGUUGGCCCUGGACAUCAGACGUUGCUUUCUUUGCUGCCACAUGUUUUUUUGGUGGUGUGUUACAGAAGUCCGACUUCUGCUGAUCCAGACUUCUUUUGAUGGACCUAGUAUUGAAAGUUAAAUUUUGUUAUGGCCAUUCCUUUACAAACAUACCCUAUACUACAAUGGACACUUAACCUGCUUCCGCAGCAUCAGCAUCAUCAUCAUCAGAUGUCAUGGGAGUUACUGUAGGACGACCAGUACUGCUUUUUUCCAACACUGUAAAACCAAAAUAAAAUCUCAUGUAUUCAUGCUAUUGUUGAUAGAUCCACCCAUUAUGCUUAUA